GGGGGCGACAGGCUUCGACGGGAUGACCUGAUGCCACGGGAAGCAUACCGAGGUCCGGGGACUCGUUAAAACACCGGAAAAACAUAGUCGCAAACGACUAUAACUACGCUCUGGCUGCUUAAGUCAGCCAGCGUCUUUUAUGCCUGCUCCUGCGGGGCUUAAGAGACGACAUUUAGCAGGAUGGCCUUUGGGGCUCGGUCUGAAGGACCUGAAGGCGAGAACUAAACAGACUGGCUUCCUGGUACAGUGCCUAUGAUGAGCCAGGAAGCGAGAUAAAUGCAUAGGCUAAGUAUGUAGAUGCCCUGGCUAAGCAUUCCCGGACGUGGGUUCAAUUCCCACCGCCUCCACCA
rnacentral:tmRNA from 10 species